rnacentral:rRNA from 1 species
AGUGAACGCUGGCGGUAGGCCUAACACAUGCAAGUCGAACGGCAGCACAGUAAGAGCUUGCUCUUACGGGUGGCGAGUGGCGGACGGGUGAGGAAUACAUCGGAAUCUACUUUUUCGUGGGGGAUAACGUAGGGAAACUUACGCUAAUACCGCAUACGGCCUACGGGUGAAAGCAGGGGAUCUUCGGACCUUGCGCGAUUGAAUGAGCCGAUGUCGGAUUAGCUAGUUGGCGGGGUAAAGGCCCACCAAGGCGACGAUCCGUAGCUGGUCUGAGAGGAUGAUUAGCCACACUGGAACUGAGACACGGUCCAGACUCCUACGGGAGGCAGCAGUGGGGAAUAUUGGACAAUGGGCGCAAGCCUGAUCCAGCCAUACCGCGUGGGUGAAGAAGGCCUUCGGGUUGUAAAGCCCUUUUGUUGGGAAAGAAAAGCAGCAGGUUAAUACCCCGCUGUUCUGACGGUACCCAAAGAAUAAGCACCGGCUAACUUCGUG